rnacentral:ncRNA from 1 species
CAUCGAGAGCAGGGGAGGGACCGGCCUUAUGAACCUGCGGCAACCUGAUAUAUCAAGGUGCCAAAUCCGCGAGAUGAGUUUCACACGGCAAAUAAG